rnacentral:tRNA from 1 species
GUACCCAUAGCUCAGUUGGCUAGAGCACGAAACUUUUAAUUUCGGGGUCCUGAGUUCGAAUCUCAGUGGGUACA